rnacentral:rRNA from 1 species
UUAAGCGACUAAGCGUACACGGUGGAUGCCCUGGCAGUCAGAGGCGAUGAAGGGCGUGCUAAUCUGCGAUAAGCGCCGGUAAGGUGAUAUGAACCGUUAUAACCGGCGAUACCCGAAUGGGGAAACCCAGUGUGACUCGUCACACUAUCAUUAACUGAAUCCAUAGGUUAAUGAGGCGAACCGGGGGAACUGAAACAUCUAAGUACCCCGAGGAAAAGAAAUCAACCGAGAUUCCCCCAGUAGCGGCGAGCGAACGGGGAGGAGCCCAGAGCCUGAAUCAGCAUGUGUGUUAGUGGAAGCGUCUGGAAAGGCGCGCGAUACAGGGUGACAGCCCCGUACACAAAAGCGCAUGUGCUGUGAGCUCGAUGAGUAGGGCGGGACACGUGGUAUCCUGUCUGAAUAUGGGGGGACCAUCCUCCAAGGCUAAAUACUCCUGACUGACCGAUAGUGAACCAGUACCGUGAGGGAAAGGCGAAAAGAACCCCGGCGAGGGGAGUGAAAAAGAACCUGAAACCGUGUACGUACAAGCAGUGGGAGCCCCACCACCAAAGCAUUCUCUGGUGUUGAAGGCCCUGCAAAGCAGCAUCGCGGUGGCGGAGCGUCGUUUGCGACGCCCAACACACAAAACAAGCGGUGAGUGCUUUGGGGUGGGGUGACUGCGUACCUUUUGUAUAAUGGGUCAGCGACUUAUAUUCUGUAGCAAGGUUAACCGAAUAGGGGAGCCGGAGGGAAACCGAGUCUUAAUUGGGCGUUAAGUUGCAGGGUAUAGACCCGAAACCCGGUGAUCUAGCCAUGGGCAGGUUGAAGGUUGGGUAACACUAACUGGAGGACCGAACCGACUAAUGUUGAAAAAUUAGCGGAUGACCUGUGGCUGGGGGUGAAAGGCCAAUCAAACCGGGAGAUAGCUGGUUCUCCCCGAAAGCUAUUUAGGUAGCGCCUCGUGAAUUCAUCUCCGGGGGUAGAGCACUGUUUCGGCUAGGGGGCCAUCCCGGCUUACCAACCCGAUGCAAACUGCGAAUACCGGAGAAUGUUAUCACGGGAGACACACGGCGGGUGCUAACGUCCGUCGUGAAGAGGGAAACAACCCAGACCGCCAGCUAAGGUCCCAAAGUCAUGGUUAAGUGGGAAACGAUGUGGGAAGGCCCAGACAGCCAGGAUGUUGGCUUAGAAGCAGCCAUCAUUUAAAGAAAGCGUAAUAGCUCACUGGUCGAGUCGGCCUGCGCGGAAGAUGUAACGGGGCUAAACCAUGCACCGAAGCUGCGGCAGCGACACUGUGUGUUGUUGGGUAGGGGAGCGUUCUGUAAGCCUGUGAAGGUGUGUCGUGAGGCAUGCUGGAGGUAUCAGAAGUGCGAAUGCUGACAUAAGUAACGAUAAAGCGGGUGAAAAGCCCGCUCGCCGGAAGACCAAGGGUUCCUGUCCAACGUUAAUCGGGGCAGGGUGAGUCGACCCCUAAGGCGAGGCCGAAAGGCGUAGUCGAUGGGAAACGGGUUAAUAUUCCCGUACUUGGUGUUACUGCGAAGGGGGGACGGAGAAGGCUAUGUUGGCCGGGCGACGGUUGUCCCGGUUUAAGCGUGUAGGUGUGUGUUCCAGGUAAAUCCGGUUCACUUUAACACUGAGGCGUGACGACGAGGCACUACGGUGCUGAAGCAACAAAUGCCCUGCUUCCAGGAAAAGCCUCUAAGCAUCAGGUAACACGAAAUCGUACCCCAAACCGACACAGGUGGUCAGGUAGAGAAUACCAAGGCGCUUGAGAGAACUCGGGUGAAGGAACUAGGCAAAAUGGUGCCGUAACUUCGGGAGAAGGCACGCUGACACGUAGGUGAAGUGAUUUACUCAUGGAGCUGAAGUCAGUCGAAGAUACCAGCUGGCUGCAACUGUUUAUUAAAAACACAGCACUGUGCAAACACGAAAGUGGACGUAUACGGUGUGACGCCUGCCCGGUGCCGGAAGGUUAAUUGAUGGGGUCAGCGCAAGCGAAGCUCCUGAUCGAAGCCCCGGUAAACGGCGGCCGUAACUAUAACGGUCCUAAGGUAGCGAAAUUCCUUGUCGGGUAAGUUCCGACCUGCACGAAUGGCGUAAUGAUGGCCAGGCUGUCUCCACCCGAGACUCAGUGAAAUUGAACUCGCUGUGAAGAUGCAGUGUACCCGCGGCAAGACGGAAAGACCCCGUGAACCUUUACUAUAGCUUGACACUGAACAUUGAGCCUUGAUGUGUAGGAUAGGUGGGAGGCUUUGAAGUGUGGACGCCAGUCUGCAUGGAGCCGACCUUGAAAUACCACCCUUUAAUGUUUGAUGUUCUAACGUGGACCCGUGAUCCGGGUUGCGGACAGUGUCUGGUGGGUAGUUUGACUGGGGCGGUCUCCUCCUAAAGAGUAACGGAGGAGCACGAAGGUUGGCUAAUCCUGGUCGGACAUCAGGAGGUUAGUGCAAUGGCAUAAGCCAGCUUGACUGCGAGCGUGACGGCGCGAGCAGGUGCGAAAGCAGGUCAUAGUGAUCCGGUGGUUCUGAAUGGAAGGGCCAUCGCUCAACGGAUAAAAGGUACUCCGGGGAUAACAGGCUGAUACCGCCCAAGAGUUCAUAUCGACGGCGGUGUUUGGCACCUCGAUGUCGGCUCAUCACAUCCUGGGGCUGAAGUAGGUCCCAAGGGUAUGGCUGUUCGCCAUUUAAAGUGGUACGCGAGCUGGGUUUAGAACGUCGUGAGACAGUUCGGUCCCUAUCUGCCGUGGGCGCUGGAGAACUGAGGGGGGCUGCUCCUAGUACGAGAGGACCGGAGUGGACGCAUCACUGGUGUUCGGGUUGUCAUGCCAAUGGCACUGCCCGGUAGCUAAAUGCGGAAGAGAUAAGUGCUGAAAGCAUCUAAGCACGAAACUUGCCCCGAGAUGAGUUCUCCCUGAGACUUAGAGUCUCCUGAAGGAACGUUGAAGACGACGACGUUGAUAGGCCGGGUGUGUAAGCGCAGCGAUGCGUUGAGCUAACCGGUACUAAUGAACCGUGAGGCUUAACCUU